GUCCCCGUAGCUCAACUGGAUAGAGCAGUCCCGUCCUAAGGGAAAGACUGGCAGUUCGACUCUGCCCGGGGACG
rnacentral:tRNA from 1 species